UAUGUGCCUGAUGUAGCCUUAAAUUUAUGG
rnacentral:piRNA from 1 species